GAAUACCAAAAAAUUCUACUUUAUUAGAGUAGCAAGUCUCCCGUUGUUAGUGCUUUAUUUUGUCAUUCCCAGAGUACAUUAAUUUUCUAACAGUUACAGCCGAUACGUUACCAUUGCAAGUUUCUCUUUAUGGAAGAUGAACAAAAAUACAUCAGCAAGGCUAUAACUCGUGCACUUACUCAAACACAUCAUUAUCAUAAACCCAAAUGAUCACACACAGUGAUCUUUACAUCUCACGGACCAGCUACAUCCUAGGAGAGCUGGUGUAUCUGUACAUGAUUAAUACAUGCCAGUAAUGACGCUGAUCAAUCUUAACAUUUCUGAAACAAGUCUUUAUCAGUCAAACUAAAAUGAAUCAAAAGGAGUACUGAAAUAUAACAAGGAUGAAAUCUAAAAUUCGCUGAGCAGAGACGGCAGUAAAGGGGAGGAAGAGCACUGAAUUGAGAGCCAGUUCAUCUGGAUCCUUAUCUUUGCCCCUGGAUGAAUGACCUUGGGCAAGUAUUCUGGGCUGUGUGAAGCCUUCGCUUUUUUUUUUUUUUUUUUUUGGAUUUUUUUUUGGGCCGCACUUGUGGCAUAUGGAGGUUCCCAGGCUAGGGAUCAAAAUCGGAGCUACAGCUGCCGGCCUACACCACAGCCACAGCCACACAAGAUCCAAGCCACACCUUCGACCUACACCACAGCUCACGGCAAUGCCAGAUCCUUAACCCACUAGCAAGGCCAGGGAUUGAACCUACAACCUCAUGGUUCCUAGUUGGAUUUGUUUCUGCUGCACCAAGAUAGGAACUCUAAGCCUUCACUUUUAUUCAUUUAUUUUUUAAAUUACUUAAUGAUUUUUUUUACGUGUACAACAAUCGAGGCCUUCACUUUUAAAAUCAGAGAGUCGGCUGGAUGGCUCUCUAAAGUCUUUCUUGAGUUGGCGUUCCAUAAUUCUAAAAUCUUUGGCACUUUUUCAGUUUGGUGUUGUAAAAUAAAAUUUCUUUUUUUGUUGUUUUUUUGUUUUUGUUUUUUUGUCUUUUUACCAUUUCUUGGGCUGCUCCCUCGGCAUAUGGAGGUUCCCUGAAAAGGCAAAAAGACAAAAAAAUAAAUAAAAUUUAAAAAAAUUAAAAAAUAAAGCAAAUCACUUAAACUUUACUUGCAAAUUAAUGUGCAGACAUGUUUUUUUGUUUUUUUUGUUUGUCUUUUUUUUUUUUUGCUAUUUCUUGGGCCUCUUCCGCGGCAUACGGAGGUUCCCUGGCUAGGGGUUGAAUCGGAGCUGUAGCCACCGGCCUACGCCAGAGCCACAGCAACGCGGGAUCCGAGCCGCGUCUGCAACCUACACCACAGCUCACGGCAAUGCCGGAUGUUAACCCACUGAGCAAGGGCAGGGACCGAACCCGCAACCUCAUGGUUCCUAGUCGGAUUCGUUAACCACUGCACCAUGAUGGGAACUCCCGAGACAUGUUUUUAAAAUAAUCUGCUGAAACCAUCAUGAAAUGCAUCUUUUAAACCGAUCAAUUAUGGUAAUUACAGAUUAUAUUGCUUUCCUUUGUUAAAAUAUAAUGUUUUCUUUAAGUAUAUAAAUGAGUCAUAGUUUCCUCAUUUUCCAUGCAUCCUCAGAUAUUUAGAACUAAAACUUUGAGAUUUUUCCUAAAUAAAGUUUUACCAGUUUCUACCUAGUUUAACAACUUAGAGUUGAAUCUAUGUAGUCUAUGGACUUGCCAACUAUCAAAAAUGUUUCUCUGAUGCACAAUGACAGAAAUAUAAACAUCUCCGUCUGUAAGAACUAUUUGUCUAUUUUUCCAAAUUCUAAUAGAGUGAAAUUGUGAAAUUUCUAUAUAACCUGAAGCUAGAGUGAUAAUGCAUAUAGAAUGUUAGAAACAGUUUCAGAAAAUAGAGAUGCAUUUCUUCUCAAAUUUUAUUCUAUUUUAUUUUUAAAAUUUAAUUUUGUUUGUUUUAGACUGCACCUCCAGCAUGAGGAAGUUCCUGGGCCAGGGAUCAAACCCACGU
rnacentral:lncRNA from 1 species